GGCUCUUAGCUCAGUGGUCGAGCGUUGGCUUUGCCAGUUAAAGGGUCGGUGGUUCGAGCCCACCAGGGCACA
rfam:Phytophthora infestans T30-4 supercont1.31 genomic scaffold, whole genome shotgun sequence.